rnacentral:rRNA from 1 species
GCAUAUCAAUAAGCGGAGGAAAAGAAACCAACAGGGAUUGCCCCAGUAGCGGCGAGUGAAGCGGCAAGAGCUCAGAUUUGAAAUCGUGUUUCGGCACGAGUUGUAGAGUGUAGGCGGGAGUCUCUGUGGAGCGCGGUGUCCAAGUCCCUUGGAACAAGGUGCCUGAGAGGGUGAGAGCCCCGUAGGGUGCUGCGCGAAGCUUUUGAGGCCCUGCUGACGAGUCGAGUUGUUUGGGAAUGCAGCUCCAAGCGGGUGGUAAAUUCCAUCUAAGGCUAAAUAUUGGCGAGAGACCGAUAGCGAACAAGUACUGUGAAGGAAAGAUGAAAAGCACUUUGAAAAGAGAGUGAAACAGCACGUGAAAUUGUUGAAAGGGAAGGGUAUUGGGCUCGACAUGGGGGGUGCGCACCGCUGUCUCUUGUAGGCGGCGCUCUGGGCGCCCUCUGGGCCAGCAUCGGUUCCUGCUGCGGGAGAAGGGGCUCCGGAAAGUGGCUCUUCGGAGUGUUAUAGCCGGGGCCAGAUGCCGCGUGUGGGGACCGAGGACUGCGGCUUCUGUCUCGGAUGCUGGCAUAACGGCGCAAUACCGCCCGUCUU